rnacentral:rRNA from 1 species
AUGGACCCGCGGUGCAUUAGCUAGUUGGUGAGGUAACGGCUCACCAAGGCCACGAUGCAUAGCCGACCUGAGAGGGUGAUCGGCCACAUUGGGACUGAGACACGGCCCAAACUCCUACGGGAGGCAGCAGUAGGGAAUCUUCGGCAAUGGACGAAAGUCUGACCGAGCAACGCCGCGUGAGUGAAGAAGGUUUUCGGAUCGUAAAACUCUGUUGUUAGAGAAGAACAAGGGUGAGAGUAACUGUUCACCCCUUGACGGUAUCUAACCAGAAAGCCACGGCUAACUACGUGCCAGCAGCCGCGGUAAUACGUAGGUGGCAAGCGUUGUCCGGAUUUAUUGGGCGUAAAGCGAGCGCAGGCGGUUUCUUAAGUCUGAUGUGAAAGCCCCCGGCUCAACCGGGGAGGGUCAUUGGAAACUGGGAGACUUGAGUGCAGAAGAGGAGAGUGGAAUUCCAUGUGUAGCGGUGAGAUGCGUAGAUAUAUGGAGGAACACCAGUGGCGAAGGCGGCUCUCUGGUCUGUAACUGACGCUGAGGCUCGAAAGCGUGCGGAGCACACAGGAUUAGAUACCCUGGUAGUCCACGCCGUAGACGAUGAGUGCUAAGUGUUGGAGGGUUUCCGCCCUUCAGUGCUGCAGCUAAC